AAUCUGYGUGGAACAGAAUCAACCACCCAACCUCCUACAACUACUAYGCCAGCACCAUCAACAACACAAAACAGCACAGACAACAGCACUGGAACUUCAGAUGGCACACCAACCUCAACCCCAACUGAUGCACCAACCACAUUCAACCAAACUGAUGAAACUGGUUCACCAUCCACAGCCACCUCAAACUCAACCAUAAUCAUUCCCACGUCGGCACCGGCCUCGUCAGGGCUGUCCGGAGGGGCGAUAGCCGGCAUCACCAUCGGUAGCAUCGCCGGGGCGGGCUUAUUGGGUGGCGGCGUCUACGGUCUGCUGAAAUACAC